CCUACGGGGGGCAGCAGUGAGGAAUAUUGGUCAAUGGGCGGGAGCCUGAACCAGCCAAGUAGCGUGAAGGAUGACAGCCCUAUGGGUUUUAAACUUCUUUUAUAAGGGAAUAAAGUGCCCCACGUGUGGGGUUUUGUAUGUACCUUAUGAAUAAGCAUCGGCUAACUCCGUGCCAGCAGCCGCGGUAAUACGGAGGAUCCGAGCGUUAUCCGGAUUUAUUGGGUUUAAAGGGAGCGUAGAUGGGUUGUUAAGUCAGUUGUGAAAGUUUGCGGCUCAACCGUAAAAUUGCAAUUGAUACUGGCAGCCUUGAGUACAGUUGAGGUAGGCGGAAUUCGUGGUGUAGCGGUGAAAUGCUUAGAUAUCACGAAGAACUCCGAUUGCGAAGGCAGCUUACUAAACUGCCACUGACAUUGAUGCUCGAAAGUGUGGGUAUCAAACAGGAUUAGAUACCCCAGUAGUC
rnacentral:rRNA from 1 species